rnacentral:rRNA from 1 species
AGUGAACGCUGGCGGCGUGCUUAACACAUGCAAGUCGAACGAGAACGGAUUAUAGCUUGCUAUAAUUGUCAGCUAAGUGGCGCACGGGUGAGUAAUGUAUAGGUAAUAUGCCUCUUACUAAGGGAUAACAAAUGGAAACGUUUGCUAAUACCUUAUACGCCUUAUUAACAGAAGGUAAUAAUGGAAAGAUUUAUUGGUAAGAGAUUAGCCUGUAUUGUAUCAGUUAGUUGUUGGAGUAAUGGCUUACCAAGACUCUGACACCUAACUGGUUUUCCAGGAUGAGCCUUCACACUGCAACUAAUACCCGGCCCAGACUCCUACGGGAUGCAGCAGUGGGAGUAUUGCACAAUCGACUAAAGUCUGAUGCAGCCACGCCGCGUGGAGGAUGACACAUUUCGGUGCGUAAACUCCUUUUAUAUGAGAAGAUAAUGACGGUAUUAUAUGAAUAAGCACCGGCUAACUCCGUGCCAGCCGCCGCAGUAA